rnacentral:rRNA from 1 species
AAGUGCCUUACUUUUAAGUAAGGCUUUUGCCAUGUUUAAAACGCAUGGCGAAUAAGUGGUGGGCAAUACCUGUGCCAGCCGCCGCGGUAACCCAGGAGCCACAAGUGGGAGCCACUUUUAUUGGGCCUAAAGCGUCCGUAGCCGGUCUAGUAAAUUUCCUGUGAAAUCGUUGGGCUCAACCUAACGACGUGCAGGGAAGACUGCUAGACUAGGGACCGGGAGGCGUCAGAGGUAUUCCUGAGGGAGCGGUAAAAUGCUAUAAUCUCAGGAGGACCCCCUAUGGCGAAGGCAUCUGACGAGAACGGAUCCGACGGUGAGGGACGAAAGCUAGGGGAGCAAACCGGAUUAGAUACCCGAGUAGUCCUAGCUGUAAACGCUGCGAACUAGGUGUUGCGCAUUCUUCGGGAAUGCGCAGUGUCGAAGUGAAGAUGAUAAGUUCGCCGCCUGGGAAGUAUGGUCGCAAGACUGAAACUUAAAGGAAUUGGCGGGGGAGCACUACAAGGGGUGCGGCGUGCGGUUUAAUCCAAUUCAACACGGAGAAUCUCACCAGGAGCGACGGCAGGAUGAAGGUCAGAUUAGAGGUCUUACCUAACGAGCCGAGAGGUAGUGCAUGGCCGUCGUCAGCUCGUGCCGUAAGGUGUCCUGUUAAGUCAGGCAACGAGCGAGACCUGCACUCACAAUUGCCAGCGAACUAUGUGAUCGGGCACAUUGUGAGGACUGCCCCUGAAAAGGGGAGGAAGGUGCAGGCUACGGUAGGUCUGUAUGCUCCGAAUCUUCUGGGCUACACGCGCGCAACAAUGGUAGGGACAAUAGGAUGCAACUCCGAAAGGAGAAGCCAAUCCCCAAAACCCUAUCCUAGUCCAGAUCGAGGGUUGUAACUCACCCUCGUGACGUUGGAAUCCCUAGUAAUCAGGUGUUAUUAGCGCCUGGUGAACAUGUCCCUG